AUUUAAAUUGGAAACUGUGAAGAAUUCUCUGUAUUUUGGGCACCUAGAGAAUUUAGAGUUAGUGGUGCAACCGACCAAUAAUUAA
rnacentral:ncRNA from 2 species